GUUAAAACACCAGUUCCCGUGCGAUCACUGAAGUUAAGCAACAUCGUGCCUGGUCAGUACCUAGUUGAGUGAUCACUUGGAAUACUAGAAGUUGUAAG